GGGGCUAUAGCUCAGUUGGUAGAGCGCUUGCAUGGCAUGCAAGAGGUCAAGGGUUCGAAUCCCUUUAGCUCCACCA
rnacentral:tRNA from 2 species